GCCAAUGUGUUUGAUAAUAUGUGUUAUUGGUCAUACUUGUUAAAUUUCUAAUAUCUUUGGUUAACUGUCAGCAACUCGUUACACCUGAUAUCUUACAAAAACUCCUGCACAAAAUGGUGAGUGACCGUUUGAGUAAUUGAACCUCAUCCUCUUAUUACCCAUUGCCCUUUGACUUUGAACCAUAUAUCAUUUGUUCUCCUCAGGUUCUUCCGAAUGAUAUUGAUUAAGCUUGGGACAAAAACACAUAACUAAAGUCUCUACUCCAAGUACCUACUUGUUCUGUGGUAAUGUAUAACCACUGAUAUUCUACACAUAUUGUUUGAUCCGUUGUCACGUCCUUUGUUUUUUGCCUUCUCUUCUUUUAACUCUAAUCAACUGUUGCAGGUUGUGAAAUGUCAAUGCUUCUUCAAUACGCAAGUAACAAGAACUUGGUCUAUAUUCUUGUUUGUAUAGGUAUUCUUUUGAUAAUUAACUAUUAGUUACUGAUUUAAUAAGGUACUAGCUACUAAUAACUUCUUUACAAAUCUUACAGGGCUACGGAUUUUGGUCGUGCACAAUCGCUUGUUCUAUGCUCCAGCUGCCAACAAGAGACAUGUACACCAUCACCUAUGAGAUCGAAGCUUACAGAAGGGCUGCUGCUCCUUUAGGGUUAAAAAAGAAUGCUAAGAUGAUCGUUUGCCUGAUAUUUAGCUAUAGUUAGUUGAACUACCAAGGUGACAUAUAUAUAAGUACUUAAAGGAUGUGUUAGUCAACAGAUAAGUUUUCCGUUUACUCAGCUUCUUUUUGUGAAAACAUUCGUACUAUGAAUAAUUUGGCUGUCGUAUUAGUCUACUGCAAUUUGAAGCGAUUAAUCUUCUUAGCUUUCGAUUUUAUUCUUGUGAAAAGAAUAGUCCAUAUAUGGGCGUCAACUUCUUUGGUCAUUCAUAUAUAUAAUGCUGGGGGAUAGGGCUUUCCGUUGACUCUCAAUACAACAACAAAUCCGGGGUCUGGGAAGUGAUAAUGGGUACGCAAACCUUACCCCUACCCGGAGGAGCAGACUCUGAAUAGCGUUGUGAUUGCACUAAGCAAAUCCAAGCGUGAUGUUUUCUAUGGAUGUUAACUGGUACAGAGAAAAAUAGAGUAAUUAUUUGUUAUAGCUAGUUAAGUUGCAUUUAUAGUGUAAAAUUUCUUUCAUAUUGUCACUACAUAUAGAUUAAAUCCUUGAUAUGCAUGCUAGAAAAGUUGGGAGAAAAGGGAAGAUAAACACCAUUAUACUUAGUGGACUAGAAAGGUAAGAACAAGACUGUAUUUCUUAAAAAGAAGGCAUUGCCUCCAACACCAUUAAUAGCAAAGCAACAAACUCAACAAGGACAUUGGUUGAACAGUAGUUUAAUCAAAAGCUAAAAGACUAAUAAUAGCAAAGCAACAAACUCAAAAGCCAGGCUGAUCCAUGAUAUGAUGGAGAAGUAAUAUGAAAAUACAAGAAGAAAAAGGUAAAAAUCUGGAAGAAAGGCGUUGCCUUCCCUUUGCCGCUAUGACUUGCCUGUUAACCCUUGGUAUCCGAUUCACAUCAGAUGCACCAAAGGGUGUGACCUAGUGUUCACAUAAAAGUUGUAGAGAUCGCCAUUUCCAUCCUCGAGUACUCCAUCAAAAUCCUUCUUUUUCUUCUUUCUCCACAUCUUCUUAUGCUUCAUAGCCUUAUAGUGCAACUAAUUAUAGGAGCUGAGUUUCUGUUUUCUCUUGUCUCUACAUGUCCUAUUAUAUAGGAGUAACAAUCUUGAAAGCCAAGAAUUUGUCCACCAUAUUAUCUGUAGACUAUAGCCAAGGGCUAGAAACAUAAAGAAAUGGUAAAUUUUUAUGGUCCCCCUCGUAGCUAUAUUCUUUUUGUAUUAGGCCAUCCUGCUUAUCC
rnacentral:lncRNA from 1 species